rnacentral:rRNA from 1 species
AUGAUAAGGCCACACAGUCCAAGAACAGAGGAACCAGGGGGAGGGGGAGAAGUGCCGCACCGGCGGUUGGCGCCGGUGGGGGUUGAUGUGCUUUUCGAGAGCCAGGCAGCAGGGAAGAAGCACGGGUCGUGGGGGUGCAUCACCGGUGGCAGGUGCCUGUGGAGGGAAGAAGGUCGAUGUGGCAGUUGCUGGAAGGUCGCGGCGGCAGGUGGAGCAAGUUCGCGCGGGGGCGCAAUCCGAAUCGUGGGACUGUGGAGGCGGCCCAAUCCGGGGCCAGAGACGAUGGUGGUGGCGCGAUCUGCGUCGAAGGACGAUGGUGGCGCAGCGGAGGAGGAGGCCAGAGGCCAGUUCUCAGAUCCGAGGCUACCAUCGAUGUCUCGAUGCAGUACGUGGUCGGAGUAG